UUGAACGCUGGCGGCAGGCCUAACACAUGCAAGUCGAACGGUAACAGGAAGCAGCUUGCUGCUUCGCUGACGAGUGGCGGACGGGUGAGUAAUGUCUGGGAAACUGCCUGAUGGAGGGGGAUAACUACUGGAAACGGUAGCUAAUACCGCAUAAUGUCGCAAGACCAAAGAGGGGGACCUUCGGGCCUCUUGCCAUCGGAUGUGCCCAGAUGGGAUUAGCUUGUUGGUGGGGUAACGGCUCACCAAGGCGACGAUCCCUAGCUGGUCUGAGAGGAUGACCAGCCACACUGGAACUGAGACACGGUCCAGACUCCUACGGGAGGCAGCAGUGGGGAAUAUUGCACAAUGGGCGCAAGCCUGAUGCAGCCAUGCCGCGUGUAUGAAGAAGGCCUUCGGGUUGUAAAGUACUUUCAGCGGGGAGGAAGGGAGUAAAGUUAAUAUCUUUGCUCAUUGACGUUACCCGCAGAAGAAGCACCGGCUAACUCCGUGCCAGCAGCCGCGGUAAUACGGAGGGUGCAAGCGUUAAUCGGAAUUACUGGGCGUAAAGCGCACGCAGGCGGUUUGUUAAGUCAGAUGUGAAAUCCCCGGGCUCAACCUGGGAACUGCAUCUGAUACUGGCAAGCUUGAGUCUCGUAGAGGGGGGUAGAAUUCCAGGUGUAGCGGUGAAAUGCGUAGAGAUCUGGAGGAAUACCGGUGGCGAAGGCGGCCCCCUGGACGAAGACUGACGCUCAGGUGCGAAAGCGUGGGGAGCAAACAGGAUUAGAUACCCUGGUAGUCCACGCCGUAAACUAUGUCGACUUGGAGGUUGUGCCCUUGAGGCGUGGCUUCCGGAGCUAACGCGUUAAGUCGACCGCCUGGGGAGUACGGCCGCAAGGUUAAAACUCAAAUGAAUUGACGGGGGCCCGCACAAGCGGUGGAGCAUGUGGUUUAAUUCGAUGCAACGCGAAGAACCUUACCUGGUCUUGACAUCCACGGAAGUUUUCAGAGAUGAGAAUGUGCCUUCGGGAACCGUGAGACAGGUGCUGCAUGGCUGUCGUCAGCUCGUGUUGUGAAAUGUUGGGUUAAGUCCCGCAACGAGCGCAACCCUUAUCCUUUGUUGCCAGCGGUCCGGCCGGGAACUCAAAGGAGACUGCCAGUGAUAAACUGGAGGAAGGUGGGGAUGACGUCAAGUCAUCAUGGCCCUUACGACCAGGGCUACACACGUGCUACAAUGGCGCAUACAAAGAGAAGCGACCUCGCGAGAGCAAGCGGACCUCAUAAAGUGCGUCGUAGUCCGGAUUGGAGUCUGCAACUCGACUCCAUGAAGUCGGAAUCGCUAGUAAUCGUGGAUCAGAAUGCCACGGUGAAUACGUUCCCGGGCCUUGUACACACCGCCCGUCACACCAUGGGAGUGGGUUGCAAAAGAAGUAGGUAGCUUAACCUUCGGGAGGGCACUUACCACUUUGUGAUUCAUGACUGGGGUG
rnacentral:rRNA from 1 species